AUUGAACGCUGGCGGCAGGCCUAACACAUGCAAGUCGAACGAGUGGCGGACGGGUGAGUAAUGUCUGGGAAACUGCCUGAUGGAGGGGGAUAACUACUGGAAACGGUAGCUAAUACCGCAUACCAUCAGAUCUUCCCAUAUGGGAUUAGCUAGUUGGUGGGGUAACGGCUCACCAAGGCGACGAUCCCUAGCUGGUCGGAGAGGAUGACCAGCCACACUGGAACUUAGACACGGUCCAGGCUCCUACGGGAGGCAGCAGUGGGGAAUAGUGCACAAGGGGCGCAAGCCUGAUGCAGCCAUGCCGCGUGUAUGAAGAAGGCCUUCGGGUGGUAAAGUACUUUCAGCGGGGAGGCGUUACCCGCAGAAGAAGCACCGGCUAACUCCGUGCCAGCAGCCGCGGUAAUAC
rnacentral:rRNA from 1 species